GGUGGUACAAGGGUCAGUUGGUGUGGAGGAAGAGCAAAGACUAAAGAAAAGGGCGGUGGUUCUUUUUUUUCAAGUUGAGAGAAAAUGGAGGUGAAAGAAAUGAAAUAAAAAAGAGGAAUACGGGAGAAUGAAAUAGGUAGGGACGGCAAUGGAGUGGUAAGCUUGUCAACUGUGACUAGAUUCAUUGAAUCACAACAAAUAGGUAAGAAUAAAAGUUUUGGC
rnacentral:lncRNA from 1 species